rnacentral:rRNA from 1 species
CCUACGGGAGGCAGCAGUGGGGAAUAUUGGACAAUGGGCGCAAGCCUGAUCCAGCCAUGCCGCGUGAGUGAUGAAGGCCUUAGGGUUGUAAAGCUCUUUCACCGGAGAAGAUAAUGACGGUAUCCGGAGAAGAAGCCCCGGCUAACUUCGUGCCAGCAGCCGCGGUAAUACGAAGGGGGCUAGCGUUGUUCGGAAUUACUGGGCGUAAAGCGCACGUAGGCGGAUAUUUAAGUCAGGGGUGAAAUCCCAGAGCUCAACUCUGGAACUGCCUUUGAUACUGGGUAUCUUGAGUAUGGAAGAGGUAAGUGGAAUUCCGAGUGUAGAGGUGAAAUUCGUAGAUAUUCGGAGGAACACCAGUGGCGAAGGCGGCUUACUGGUCCAUUACUGACGCUGAGGUGCGAAAGCGUGGGGAGCAAACAGGAUUAGAUACCCUAGUAGUC